GAUACUCACAUGUUUAAAAGGUGAGCACUAACACACAGGAUCGUCUUCUUUCCUAGAUGGCAACAAGUUUUAAAAUGUACUUAGAAAACUGGAAUAUCCACACCAUAGACUGGCUUAAACGUGUAUGCUACAAUCGAGUUCCUCAUUACCGUACAGCUUUAACAUUUCUUCUGUCAGCAGUUUGGCAUGGUGUUUACCCUGGAUAUUAUUUUACUUUUAUCACUGGUAUCUUUAUGACACUAGCAGCCAGAACAGUA